rnacentral:rRNA from 1 species
AACGAACGCUGGCGGCGUGCUUAAUACAUGCAAGUCGAACGAGAAAGCCCGACUUCGGUUGGGCGAGUAAAGUGGCGAACGGGUGAGUAACACGUGGGCAAUCUGCCCUCAAACCUGGGAUAAUCCUCCGAAAGGGGGUCUAAUACCGGAUAACACCUUCGGGCGGCAUCGUCUGAAGGUCAAAGGCGGGGUAACCUGCCGUUUGAGGAUGAGCCCGCGCCCCAUUAGCUUGUUGGUAGGGUAACGGCCUACCAAGGCUACGAUGGGUAGCCGGCCUGAGAGGGUGAUCGGCCACACUGGGACUGAGAUACGGCCCAGACUCCUACGGGAGGCAGCAGUAGGGAAUAUUGCGCAAUGGACGAAAGUCUGACGCAGCAACGCCGCGUGGGUGAUGAAGCAUUUUGGUGUGUAAAACCCUGUCAGUGGGGAAGAACCGUAUGGGGAGUAACUGCCCUGUACCUGACGGUACCCACAGAGGAAGUCCCGGCUAACUCCGUGCCAACAGCCGCGGUAAUACG